UUCUGACUCAGGAGGUCUGGGUGGGGUCUGAGAACUCACCCGUCUAACAAGCUCCCAGAUGAUGCUGAGUCUGCAGGGCCCAGGA
ensembl:miRNA